UGUUACGAACAUUAUCCUUGAGUCAUUUCACGCGUGAUAGUGUCCAUUGAUCUGUUUAGGAUAGGAUUCAAUUUCCCCAGGACUUUUUCACUUUUUCUAAAUUUAGCUUUAUUUUCCUUCGGUCUGAACCUAUAGAAAUAUCAGUCAUGGAUGGUGGCAGCAGAAUCACUGGGGCUCAGCGAGAUGAAAUAAUGGAGCAAGUAAAACAGCAGAUUGCUGUUGCAAAUGCCCAGGAGCUUCUAACUAAAAUGACAGAGAAAUGCUUUGCGAAGUGUAUAUUCAAGCCUGGUGCUGCACUUGAUAGCUCUGAACAGAAAUGCGUCGCCAUGUGCAUGGAUCGCUACAUCGACGCGUGGAACACGGUAUCGCAGGCCUACAGCUCCCGGUUGAAGCGGGAACAGCAGCGGUUAUAGGGCCGCGCCGCCCCGUCCCCGAUACCCCCAUAGUUUCCGAUGUCUUUUCUCGUAUCGCUGACUGGAUUUUUACAUAUGACCGAGUCAUGGACUAAGCGUCGUCUGAUUCGGUAUACUUGUCGGUGUACAAUACAUGAUGUAGAAAUCGA